CGAACGGGUGAGUAAUGCGUGACCAACCUGCCCCAUGCUCCAGAAUAGCUCUUGGAAACGGGUGGUAAUGCUGGAUGCUCCAACUUGACGCAUGUCUUGUUGGGAAAGUGUUUAGUGGCAUGGGAUGGGGUCGCGUCCUAUCAGCUUGUAGGCGGGGUAAUGGCCCACCUAGGCUUCGACGGGUAGCCGGCCUGAGAGGGCGGACGGCCACAUUGGGACUGAGAUACGGCCCAGACUCCUACGGGAGGGAGCAGGC
rnacentral:rRNA from 1 species